GCUUUGCUGGCCUAGUUGUUUGAGCAUCUGCCUCAGAUGCAGGAGGUCGUGGGUUCGAUCACCAAUAAAGUU